AUUGAACGCUGGCGGCAGGCCUAACACAUGCAAGUCGAACGGUAACAGGAAGAAGCUUGCUUCUUUGCUGACGAGUGGCGGACGGGUGAGUAAUGUCUGGGAAACUGCCUGAUGGAGGGGGAUAACUACUGGAAACGGUAGCUAAUACCGCAUAACGUCGCAAGACCAAAGAGGGGGACCUUCGGGCCUCUUGCCAUCGGAUGUGCCCAGAUGGGAUUAGCUAGUAGGUGGGGUAACGGCUCACCUAGGCGACGAUCCCUAGCUGGUCUGAGAGGAUGACCAGCCACACUGGAACUGAGACACGGUCCAGACUCCUACGGGAGGCAGCAGUGGGGAAUAUUGCACAAUGGGCGCAAGCCUGAUGCAGCCAUGCCGCGUGUAUGAAGAAGGCCUUCGGGUUGUAAAGUACUUUCAGCGGGGAGGAAGGGAGUAAAGUUAAUACCCUUACUCAUUGACGUUACCCGCAGAAGAAGCACCGGCUAACUCCGUG
rnacentral:rRNA from 1 species